AGAACGAACGCUGGCGGCAUGCCUAACACAUGCAAGUCGAACGCUUCACCGGUUUCGGCCGGUGGGGAGUGGCGCACGGGUGAGUAGCGCGUGGGAACCUGCCCUGUUGUGGGGGAUAACCGAGGGAAACUUCGGCUAAUACCGCAUAAGCCGGUUGUCUUGAAAGAGAUGGCCGGGAAAGAUUUAUCGCGACAGGAGGGGCCCGCGUCGGAUUAGCUAGUUGGUGGGGUAACGGCCCACCAAGGCUGUGAUCCGUAGCUGGUCUGAGAGGAUGAUCAGCCACACUGGGACUGAGACACGGCCCAGACUCCUACGGGAGGCAGCAGUGGGGAAUAUUGGACAAUGGGCGCAAGCCUGAUCCAGCAAUGCCGCGUGAGUGAUGAAGGCCUUAGGGUUGUAAAGCUCUUUUGGCGGGACGAUGAUGACGGUACCCGCAGAAUAAGCCCCGGCUAACUUCGCGCCAGCAGCCGCGGUAA
rnacentral:rRNA from 1 species